rnacentral:tRNA from 1 species
CAAAGGAUAGUUUAAGUAAAAUACUAGUUUUGGGGGCUAGUGUUGGGACACGUGUCUCUCUUUUGA